GAGGGGCAGCGGGGUAGUGCUUGCACUACUGCCGGCGACCGGCGCACGGGUGAGUAACACGUAUGGAACCUGCCCGCAGCAGGGGGAUAAGCGGAAGAAAUUCCGUCUAAUACCGCGUAACAACGUUGGGAGGCAUCUCCCGAUGUUUAAAGAUUUAUCGGCUGCGGAUGGCCAUGCGGCGCAUUAGCUAGUCGGCGGGGUAACGGCCCACCGAGGCGACGAUGCGUAGGGGUUCUGAGAGGAAGGUCCCCCACACUGGUACUGAGACACGGACCAGACUCCUACGGGAGGCAGCAGUGAGGAAUAUUGGUCAAUGGCCGAGAGGCUGAACCAGCCUAGUCGCGUGAGGGAAGACGGCCCUACGGGUUGUAAACCUCUUUUGUCGGGGAGCAAAGCGAACCACGUGUGGUUCAUUGAGAGUACCCGAAGAAAAAGCAUCGGCUAACUCCGUGCCAGCAGCCGCGGUAAUACGGAGGAUGCGAGCGUUAUCCGGAUUUAUUGGGUUUAAAGGGUGCGCAGGCGGAGGUGCAAGUCAGCGGUCAAAUUGCGGGGCUCAACCCCGUACUGCCGUUGAAACUGCAUCCCUUGAGUGCGCGAGA
rnacentral:rRNA from 1 species